rnacentral:rRNA from 1 species
UGGGGAAUAUUGGACAAUGGGCGCAAGCCUGAUCCAGCAAUGCCGCGUGUGUGAAGAAGGCUUUCGGGUUGUAAAGCACUUUCGGUGGGGAGAAAGAGGCUGGUACGAAUAGUGCUAGCGGAAGAUGUUACCCACAGAAGAAGCACCGGCUAACUCUGUGCCAGCAGCCGCGGUAAUACAGAGGGUGCGAGCGUUAAUCGGAAUUACUGGGCGUAAAGGGUGCGUAGGUGGUUUGGUAAGUUAGGUGUGAAAGUCCUGGGCUCAACCUGGGGAUUGCGCCUAAAACUGUUAAGCUAGAGUACUGUAGAGGGAAGUGGAAUUUCCGGUGUAGCGGUGAAAUGCGUAGAUAUCGGAAGGAACAUCAGUGGCGAAGGCGACUUUCUGGACAGAUACUGACACUGAGGCACGAAAGCGUGGGGAGCAAACAGG